CAGUAGCCGCGGUAAAACGUAGGGUGCAAGCGUUGUCCGGAAUUAUUGGGCGUAAAGAGCGUGUAGGCGGCUCGACAAGUCCGCUGUGAAAGUCCAGGGCUCAACCCUGGAAUGCCGGUGGAUACUGUCGAGCUAGAGUCCGGAAGGGGCGAGUGGAACUCCUGGUGUAGCGGUGAAAUGCGCAGAUAUCAGGAAGAACACCAAUGGCGAAGGCAGCUCGCUGGGACGUGACUGACGCUGAGACGCGAAAGCGUGGGGAGCGAACAGGAUUAGAUACCCCCGUAGUCCCUGUCUCUUAUAC
rnacentral:rRNA from 1 species